CGCAAUGGGGGAAACCCUGACGCAGCAACGCCGCGUGGAGGAUGAAGUCCCUUGGGACGUAAACUCCUUUCGACCGGGACGAUACUGACGGUACCGGAAGAAGAAGCACCGGCUAACUCUGUGCCAGCAGCCGCGGUAAUACAGAGGGUGCGAGCGUUGUUCGGAAUUAUUGGGCGUAAAGGGCUGCGUAGGCNGGCGCGGUAUGUCACCUGUGAAAUCUCCUGGCUCAACUGGGAGCUUGCAGGCGAAACUGCCGUGCUGGAGUGUGGGAGAGGUGCGUGGAAUUCCCGGUGUAGCNGGUGAAAUGCGUAGAUAUCGGGAGGAACACCUGUGGCGAAAGCGGCGCACUGGACCACAACUGACGCUGAGGCGCGAAAGCUAGGGGAGCAAACAGGAUUAGAUACCCUGGUAGUCCUAGCCCUAAACGAUGGAUGCUUGGUGUGAUCGGUACCCAAUCCGAUCGUGCCGCAGCUAACGCGAUAAGCAUCCCGCCUGGGGAGUACGGUCGCAAGGCUUGAAACUCAAAAGAAUUGACGGA
rnacentral:rRNA from 1 species